rnacentral:tRNA from 1 species
GGACGAUUAGCUCAGUUGGCAGAGCGUCUCGUUUACACCGAGAAGGUCGUAGGUUCGAAUCCUACAUCGUCCA